AUCUUUAUAGUUUAUAUUAUAAAAUAUUACAUUGAAAAUGUAAAGAAUUUAAUUAAAGAUA
rnacentral:tRNA from 1 species